GCCUACGGGGGGCAGCAGUGAGGAAUAUUGGUCAAUGGGCGGGAGCCUGAACCAGCCAAGCCGCGUGAAGGAAGAAGGCGCCAGGCGUCGUAAACUUCUUUUGUCGGGGAACAAAGGGCGCCACGCGUGGCGUUGUGAGUGUACCCGAAGAAAAAGCAUCGGCUAACUCCGUGCCAGCAGCCGCGGUAAUACGGAGGAUGCGAGCGUUAUCCGGAUUUAUUGGGUGUAAAGGGAGCGUAGGCGGCUGGCCAAGUCUGCAGUGAAAGCCCGGGGCUUAACCCCGGAAC
rnacentral:rRNA from 1 species